rnacentral:lncRNA from 1 species
AUCAAUCAGCAUACACUGAAAAGAUUUUAAAGCAAUUCUAUAUGGAUAUAUAAAGCACAUCCAUUAAAUACCCUGAUGAUUGUGAUAUCAUUCGAUAUAAAUAAAGAUCCAUUCCGACCUCAUGAAAAUAAUGAAGAGCUUCUUGGUCCUGAAGUACCAUGUCUUAGUACAAUUGGUGCACUAAUGUAUCCUGAUAGUAUUUAACUUGAAAAGUUGCUGCUGUUACCACUGUUGAAGGAGAGUUGAUGCAUCAACUACUGCUUCUUCGUUCUCAAUAUUUAAUGGCUUAAGCUCAAUUGAACUCACAAAUGGAGUUUUGCAUUCCAAGAAAGCACUGAAAAAUCACACAUGAAUUUUGCCGCUACGAUGAUUUCUGGCCAGUGAAAAGAGGAGCUUCUCUUAUUUUUUGUUUUUCCUGUUUCUUUUUAAGUAAAAAUUAUAUACGGAUACACUCUGAAUUUUAAAUCCAAUACUUAUUUUGGUUGAUGUUUAAAUAAGUGGUUAUUUCCUAUUUAAGACUUAAGGUUUAGAUAAGUGGUUAGAUAUUUUCGCUUAUUUUAAAUCAAACACUUACAUCUCUAUACUAUAGAUAUCUCACAAAAAUAUAUAUGAUAAUAAUGUUAUCUCCAUUUUUCUAAUAAAAAAUAUUUAAAAACUCCUAUAUAACAAAAAUCCUACACAAAGGAAAGUUCAUCUAAUUUGAAACAGAACAAUAAAUAAUCAAACCAAAUAAACUCUGAAAUUCAUAUAUAAUAAAAUAUUACAAUAGCUUCCAUGUUUAAAAUGCAAAAAAUAUAUUACUGUUAAUAUGUGGUUAUUUCCUAUUUAAGAAGUUUGAAAGAUAUACGUUUCAGAAAACAUUUAUCCUUUUUAAAUUUCAUAAAAUUAAUUGUGUAACAACUUAUUAAUUGAAAUUUUAAUUUUACUUUAAUACUUAGUUACAAAUUAUAUAUCUCAAAUUUUUCAAAAUUAAACGCUUAACAUCCUAUUAUAAUUGAAACAUUAUCAAAGCUAAUACUUCUGUGAGAUUUCAUAUUAUAGAGGGUGUAAGAGUUUGAUUGUAAAAUGCAAGUGGUGUAUUUGCAAUUGAAUCAUAUUUUAAGAGUGUUUAGCAUAUUUUAAAACUAAUAUUAACAAAAAUCACACAUUUGAUUAAAUUAAAGAUCAGAAAAAGCUGAGUGGAAUAAAAUUAGGAUCAAAACAAGAAACACAUAUUAACUCAAGGACUAAAAUAAGAAUUUCUCAUUUUACAUUAUAUAUUAUACUUUAAUAGAAAAAUUAACCUAAAUAACUGCCCAAUCAAUAAUCAUGUCUCAGUCUUAGGACUUCUUUGUGCAUUAGAAGAUUCAAUUGAUACAGAGGCACCUAACUUUGAUUUCAUUAUUAAAAAAAAAAAGAUUCUUAACUAAGUGUAUCUAAACCAAAGCCAAGAAAUCAUCAUCAUACUUGAUAGGCUUUAAACAGUAGAAGAAAAUUUUUUGAGCUUCAGUGGAAAAUAUAAAAAUCACCAGCCUUGUUCGUUCCAUGAGUUUACCUACUACAUUAUCAUCCUCUUAUUGCAAGUAAGAGCAUUUGCAAAGGUUGGAGUCAACUGAAGGUACCUCCCAGGCUCCCACAUCUUCUCCCACCAAUAUGCCAGAGAUUGGAUGGUCUUAGAAGAUCGUAUGAGCGAGUAGACGACGUGCUCCAGUUGCCAUUCAGCCAAUAAGUUCUCUGCCAUGAAAAGCAUACCAUGUGAGUGGAACAAGUCUCUAACAGGUCUCUCAACUUUCUGCUAUUUCGUUACAGUUCUCAUCUAUUUAAGUUUUAAUUAAUAGUCUAUUGAGGCUAACAUUUAAUGUAGGUGGCUCUUAUUAGUUGCCAAUACCAGCAGGAUCAAUAAUUGUGUACUAAACAAAGAGGCAAGCGCAUUAAAAUGCAUAGGACAAAUACCAUAUGUUUAACUCAAAUGAAUAUUCUACUUAAUUCUUUUUGAUUUGCCAUAAACCAAUUAAGUUUAACGGGGUUAAAAUUAGUCACUGGCCUUAUUAGCCUCAGUAUUAGGCUUGGGUAGACUCUAUUCUGUAGUGUCACGACUCAACUAACGGUUGUGCACAUAGGAGGGCUUCACCCAUCAUAGCAAGCCUUUGAAUCUUUAAAAAUUUCGACCUUGCCUAUAACUGAAACUAAUUCCAUUUUUGUACCUCUCUCAUAUCAUCCAAACUACAUCACUCAACAAUCCCAAGAGUAACAUCAUUCAUUUCACGUGUAAUAAUCAAGAUGCUAGACUAGCAAAAUAUAUAUAUCAGUGUCUCUCUCUUUUUCCCUUUUAUUUUUUUAACACAGUCUACCGCAUUACAAAGUUACAACCACCCAUAAGGUUCGCGGAUCAAUACAACUAAGAGUUUUCAAUAACUGUGUAACUGAAACAUAACAACAGAAAAAGAGGAAGUGGAACCAGCAUCACCCAUGGAAGGAAACGUGCGGCUCAGCACUGAAGUACACUAGCUCAAGUCUCGGUAUAGGAAUGAACACUUGUAUCUGUAGACAUAAAAGUAAGGAAUGAGUUCACUGACUCAACAAGUGAUAACUAAUUCAUAACGGGGUAAGAGUUUCAGAAAACACUAUAAUAUGCAAUAUAGGUAACACAAUAUUCUUUAAUAAACACAUUGCAGUGGCAAACUUUCAGUUUGCUAAUUGUGUCUGAUAUCUCUGUUCAAAAUACUACUUGUAACAAUUGAAACCACUCAACCCCCCCCCCCCCCCCCGCCAAAACAAAAACAAAAAUAUAAAAUAAAGGACUAUUUAAAAAGAAAACCUUCAAACCAACAUUCUAGAAUUUAAAAGACAAAUCUAGUCCACUUAUAAAGAUUAAGAAAGAGAAAACGGCCAAAAUUAUUCUUGAAUUCGGUCCCAAAAAAAGUCUGUACCGCUAGCCCAUUGGAACACUUAUGCCCCUCAAAACUAACGGACUCACAUCAGCCUUUUCCUUCUCUUGCCCAUAUCUAUGAAAAUUCAAUCUAAGAAAGAAUAAAGAUUCUAAUCAAUCUCACCCUUUACAUCUUCACACAGAAUACUCUUCAUCAUCAUAUCCAAAUCAUUUUCUUUCCUGUACUCGCAGCCAAGUUUUCCAUCAGUUCCAUUCAUUUACUCCACUUUCAACUCAAACAGAAAUUCUCUCAAACACCUACUGUGCAGCCACUUUUAA